rnacentral:rRNA from 1 species
AAUAUGUGACAAUGGGUGCAAGCAUGAUCCAGCCAUGCCGCGUGAGUGAUGAAGGNAUNNGGGUUNUNAAGCUCUUGCAGCGGNNNNNCUAAUGACGGUCCUCGCCGAAGAAGCCCCGGCUCACUUCGUGCCACCAGCCGCGGUAAUACGAAGGGGGCUAGCGUUGUUCGGAAUUAGUGGGCGUAAAGGGCGCGUAGGCGGACUGUUAAGUCAGGGGUGAAGGCCCGGGGCUCAACCCCAGAACUGCCUUUGAUACUGGCGCUCUUGAGUUCGGGAGAGGUGAAUGGAAUUCCGAGUGUAGAGGUGAAAUUCGUAGAUAUUCGGAGGAACACCAGUGGCGAAGGCGGCUCACUGGACCGAUACUGACGCUGAGGCGCGAAAGCGUGGGGAGCAAACAGG